AACGAACGCUGGCGGCAGGCUUAACACAUGCAAGUCGAACGCCCCGCAAGGGGAGUGGCAGACGGGUGAGUAACGCGUGGGAAUCUACCGUGCCCUGCGGAAUAGCUCCGGGAAACUGGAAUUAAUACCGCAUACGCCCUACGGGGAAAGAUUUAUCGGGUAUGAUGAGCCCGCGUUGGAUUAGCUAGUUGGUGGGGUAA
rnacentral:rRNA from 1 species